rnacentral:rRNA from 1 species
CCUACGGGAGGCAGCAGUAGGGAAUAUUGGGCAAUGGAUGAGAGUCUGACCCAGCCAUGCCGCGUGCCGGACGAAGGCCCUCAGGGUCGUAAACGGCUUUUGUACGGGAAGAACCCCGCCCAUGCGUGGGCGGCUGACGGUACCGUAAGAAUAAGCACCGGCUAACUCCGUGCCAGCAGCCGCGGUAAUACGGAGGGUGCGAGCGUUGUCCGGAUUUAUUGGGUUUAAAGGGUGCGCAGGUGGCCCGGUCAGUCAGUGGUGAAAUGCGGCCGCUCAACGGUCGAACUGCCAUUGAUACUGCCGGGCUUGAGGGAAGUGGAGGCCGCCGGAACGGACGGUGUAGCGGUGAAAUGCAUAGAUAUCGUCCAGAACGCCGAUUGCGAAGGCAGGUGGCUACGCUUCAUCCGACACUGAGGCACGAAAGCGUGGGGAGCGAACAGGAUUAGAUACCCUGGUAGUCCACGCCGUAAACGAUGAGGACUCGCUGCCGGCCUUAGGGGUCGGUGGCCUAGGGAAACCGUUAAGUCCUCCACCUGGGGAGUACGCCGGCAACGGUGAAACUCAAAGGAAUUGACGG